AAGUCAUAAUGUGGACAUUUGCGCAAUACAUCCUUGUAUCUCACACAUACCUCAUAUAAUGAUUCACCCUCGAAUUGUCUGAAGGUAGUGAUAUCAUUCCUUAACUU